GUGGGGAAUAUUGGACAAUGGGCGAAAGCCUGAUCCAGCCAUGCCGCGUGUGUGAAGAAGGUCUUCGGAUUGUAAAGCACUUUAAGUUGGGAGGAAGGGCAGUAAGUUAAUACCUUGCUGUUUUGACGUUACCGACAGAAUAAGCACCGGCUAACUUCGUGCCAGCAGCCGCGGUAAUACGAAGGGUGCAAGCGUUAAUCGGAAUUACUGGGCGUAAAGCGCGCGUAGGUGGUUUUGUAAGUUGGCGGUGAAAUCCCCGGGCUCAACCUGGGAACUGCAUCCAAAACUGCAUGACUAGAGGACGGUAGAGGGUAGUGGAAUUUCCUGUGUAGCGGUGAAAUGCGUAGAUAUAGGAAGGAACACCAGUGGCGAAGGCGACUACCUGGACUGAUACUGACACUGAGGUGCGAAAGCGUGGGGAGCAAACAGGAUUAGAUACCCGGGUAGUCC
rnacentral:rRNA from 1 species